GUAUUUGCUUCGGCAGUACAUAUACUAAAACUGGAACGAAGCAGAGAAGAUUAGCAUGGCCCCUGCGCAAGAAUGACACGCAAAAUCGUGAAUUUUACAUUUUUCUG